GUCUUUUUGAAUUUAAUAUAAAGUCUGAUCUGCCCCCUGAUUUAUUAAAUGGCCGCAGUAUAUUAACUGUGCAAAGGUAGCAUAAUCAUUAGUUUUUUAAUUGGAGACUUGUAUGAAUGAUCGGACGAGAUAUAAACUGUUUCAUAAAAAUGAGUAGAAUUUUAUUUUUUAGUUAAAAAGCUAAAAUUUUAUUGAAAGACGAGAAGACCCUAUAGAUCUUUAUAGUACCAUGAUUAUUAGUUAAUAGGGUUUAUUUUACAAUAGUUUUGUUACUAUUUUAUUGGGGUGAUAUUGAAAUUUGAAAAACUUUUGAUUAAAAGUGAUUUACAUUGAUUUAUGAAUGAAUGAUCCAUUAUUAGUGAUUAAAAAUUUAAGUUACCUUAGGGAUAACAGCGUAAUUAUUUUGGAGAGUUCUUAUCGAUAAAAUAGUUUGCGACCUCGAUGUUGGAUUAAGAUUAAUUCCAUGUGCAGCAGUUUGGUGUAUUAAGUCUGUUCGACUUUUAAUUUCUU
rnacentral:rRNA from 1 species